UCCAGACUCCUACGGGAGGCAGCAGUGGGGGAUAUUGCACAAUGGGGGCAACCCUGAUGCAGCGACGCCGCGUGAGCGAUGGAGUACUUCGGUAUGUAAAGCUCUGUCAGCAGGGAAGAGAAUGACGGUACCUGACCAAGAAGCCCCGGCUAAAUACGUGCCAGCAGCCGCGGUAAUACGUAUGGGGCAAGCGUUAUCCGGAUUUACUGGGUGUAAAGGGAGCGUAGACGGCGAAGAAAGUCUGAAGUGAAAGCCCGCGGCUCAACCGCGGAACUGCUUUGGAAACUUUUUUGCUGGAGUACCGGAGAGGUAAGCGGAAUUCCUAGUGUAGCGGUGAAAUGCGUAGAUAUUAGGAGGAACACCAGUGGCGAAGGCGGCUUACUGGACGGUAACUGACGUUGAGGCUCGAAAGCGUGGGGAGCAAACAGGAUUAGAUACCCUAGUA
rnacentral:rRNA from 1 species